GGACGACGUGCAGGAGGAAAGCAGUGCCUGCUUAUCAAGAGAGAAAAAGCAAGAGCACUGGAGGCCGCGACUCCCCCCCAUUUUGGAGACCUGCGUUGAGUCGGACGAAGAAGACCAGCCGGCAGAAGAGGAGCUCUCUCCUACUGAGGAGAAGACGCAGACCUCGGAGGAUUCGAUGGAAGUGCAGGUGGGCUCCGGGAUCAACAGCCUGGAGGAUUUUGACUCCAUUUCUGCCCUCUUGGAUGAGGAGUCUGAGGGAAGCUGGGAGCAGGCUGCAGAGGCUUUGGAGGCCAGCCUUUCGUCCAGUCCGUGGGAUUCUCCUGAAGAAGGGGAAGGCACGCUGGAGAAUCUCAGCAGCCUGGAGGAAGACUCCCUGGACUUCAGUCUCUAAUUAAAAGAGAUGCUUCCCCAGAUGCCUCUCCAGUUGGCAGAUCGGAGAAGGAUGAACCAGUCCCAGGCACAUCAGGAGACGGACGGCGAUGGACGGCGGAAUCCGACCCAGCAGCGAAGACCAGCGAUGAGCCACUUUCCCCCAAGGAACUUUCUGCGUCUUGUUAUUGUUGUUGUUUUUGUAAUUGUUCUUUUUGUUGUACUUGCUCUUGUUGUUCUAGUUAUUGUUCGGAGAAUAAAAGUAAAAAAGAUUUUAUAUAUACUAAUUUAGCUUAGGCCUAUUUUCAUUACACUUUUGUUAGGAAUAGGGUAAACUUUUCAUUAAAUGUAAAUUUCAGCAAAA